UGAAAAUUCUACAUUCUAUCUGGCAAGGCCAACUGCCUGGGGAGUGAAGAUUUGUAGAGAACGCAGUUCCCCCACCAGAAAAGCUGGAGCGUAAGAGUUGGAGAGAAACUAUGGCUUGGAAGCUGCAAUCACCAGUUCUGACUCCUAACUUGGAAGUUCCUGGAAGAACAUUCUGAAUUAGCACAGCGUGUAAGGCAAGAAGUGGUUCCUUUCCUGUUGACACAGAAGAAAGCAUUCUUGACCUUCCCUAUAAAUAUAAACAGGCAAGCAAAUCAUGAGAGAAACACAAAAAAGAUGUAUAACUUCCAAUGUAAGGUAAAACAUUGAUCAUC